GAUGAAGAACGUAGCGAAAUGCGAUAAGUAAUGUGAAUUGCAGAAUUCAGUGAAUCAUCGAAUCUUUGAACGCACAUUGCGCCCGCCAGUAUUCUGGCGGCAUGCCUGUUCGAGCGUCAUUUCAACCAUCAAGCCCCAGGCUUGUGUUGGGGACCUGCGGCUGCCGCAGGCCCUGAAAACCAGUGGCGGGCUCGCUGUCACACCGGGCGUAGUAGAUUUUAUCUCGCUCAGGGCGUGCUGCGGGUUCCGGCCGUUAAAAAGCCUUUUUUACCCAAGGUUGACCUCGGAUCAGGUAGGAAGACCCGCUGAACUUAAGCAUAUCAAUAAGCGGAGGA
rnacentral:misc_RNA from 1 species